UCGUAACAAGGUUUCCGUAGGUGAACCUGCGGAAGGAUCAUUAUGAAUUAAUAAUAUUUGUGAAAUUUCAACAAACAACAUCAAUUUUAUAGUCUAUUAUUUUUAAUUAAAACUUUUAACAAUGGAUCUCUUAGGUUCUCGUAUCGAUGAAGAACGCAGCGAAACGCGAUAUUUCUUGUGAAUUGCAGAAGUGAAUCAUCAGUUUUUGAACGCACAUUGCACUUUGGGGUAUCCCCCAAAGUAUACUUGUUUGAGCGUUGUUUCUCUCUUGGAAUUGCUUUGCUCUUCUAAAAUUUCGAAUCAAAUUCGUUUGAAAAACAACACUAUUCAACCUCAGAUCAAGUAGGAUUACCCGCUGAACUUAAGCAUAUCAAUAA
rnacentral:misc_RNA from 1 species